GCCGAAAUAGCUCAGGUGGGAGAGCGUUAGACUGAAGAUCUCAAGGUCCCUGGUUCAAUCCCGGGUUUCGGCA
rnacentral:tRNA from 1 species